rnacentral:rRNA from 1 species
CGGGAGGCAGCAGAGGGGAAUUGUUCGCAAUGGGCGCAGGCCUGACGACGCCACGCCGCGUGGAGGAUGAAGGUCUUCGGGUUGUAAACUCCUUUUGACCGGGACGAAUAACCUCCGGGUUAACACCCCGGGGGUGGGACGGACCCGAUAGAGAAGGCCCCGGCUACACUCCGUGCCCGCAGCCGCGGUAAUACAGGGGGGGCAAGCGUUGUUCGUAAUUACUGGGCGUAAAGGGCGCGUAGGCGGCCGUCUAAGUCAGACAGUGAAAUCCCCCGGCUCAACCGGGGAACUGCGUCUGAUACUGGCUGGGCUUGAGUCCGGGAGAGGGAUGUGGAAUUCCAGUGUGUAGCGGUGAAAGUGCGUGAGAUAUCUGGAGGAACACCCGUGGCGAAGGCGGCCUCCUGGACCGGCAUUGACGCUGAGGCGCGAAAGCCAGGGGAGCAACACGGGAUUAGAUACCCCGGUAGUCCUGUGCGCCCUAAACGAUGACAUGCUCUGGUGUGGUCGGGUACUCAGAUCCUGCCGUGCCGAAGCUAACGCAUUAAGCA